GACAGAGGUGCCAAGCGUUGUGCGGAAUCACUGGGCGUAAAGCGUGUGUAGGCGGCUGCGUAAGUACCUUGUGAAAUCCCACAGCUUAACUGUGGAACUGCUUGGUAUACUGGGUGUCUUGAGCCACUCAGGGGCGAGCGGAACAAAUGGUGGAGCGGUGAAAUGCGUAGAUAUCAUUUGGAACGCCAAUGGUGAAAACAGCUCGCUGGGGGUGUGCUGACGCUGAGACACGAAAGCCAGGGGAGCGAACGGG
rnacentral:rRNA from 1 species